ACACGACUACAUUAGAUACCCGCGUAGUCCCAGCCCUAAACGAUGCGCGUUAGGUGUAUCGGUGACCACGAGUCACCGAGGUGCCGAAGGGAAACCGUGAAACGUGCCGCCUGGGAAGUACGGUCGCAAGGCUGAAACUUAAAGGAAUUGGCGGGGAGCACCACAACGGGUGGAGCCUGCGGUUUAAUUGGACUCAACGCCGGGAAGCUCACCGGAUAAGACAGCGGAAUGAUUGCCGGGCUGAAGACUCUGCAUGACUAGCUG
rnacentral:rRNA from 1 species